CACGGAGGGCGCAAACGUUGCUCGGAAUCACUGGGCAUAAAGCGCACGUAGGCGGCCGUCUAAGUCGGGUGUGAAAGCCCUCGGCUCAACCGAGGAACUGCACUCGAUACUGGAUGGCUUGAGGACGGUUGGGGUGAGUGGAACUCCAGGUGGAGCGGUGAAAUGCGUAGAUAUCUGGAGGAACACCAGUGGCGAAAGCGACUCACUGGACCGUAACUGACGCUGAGGUGCGAAAGCUAGGGUAGCGAACGGG
rnacentral:rRNA from 1 species